rnacentral:rRNA from 1 species
UAACACGUAGGAACGUACCCCAAACUGAGGGAUAACUGCUCGAAAGAGUAGCUAAUACCGCAUGUGGUCUUCGGAUUAAAGCUUCGGCGGUUUGGGAACGGCCUGCGCAUGAUUAGCUUGUUGGUGAGGUAAUGGCUCACCAAGGCAGUGAUCAUUAGCUGGUCUGAGAGGAUGAUCAGCCAGACUGGGACUGAGACACGGCCCAG